rnacentral:rRNA from 1 species
GACGAACGCUGGCGGCGUGCUUAACACAUGCAAGUCGAACGGAAAGGCCCUGCUUUUGUGGGGUGCUCGAGUGGCGAACGGGUGAGUAACACGUGAGUAACCUGCCCUUGACUUUGGGAUAACUUCAGGAAACUGGGGCUAAUACCGGAUAGGAGCUCCUGCUGCAUGGUGGGGGUUGGAAAGUUUCGGCGGUUGGGGAUGGACUCGCGGCUUAUCAGCUUGUUGGUGGGGUAGUGGCUUACCAAGGCUUUGACGGGUAGCCGGCCUGAGAGAGUGACCGGCCACAUUGGGACUGAGAUACGGCCCAGACUCCUACGGUAGGCAGCAGUGGGGAAUAUUGCACAAUGGGCGGAAGCCUGAUGCAGCAACGCCGCGUGCGGGAUGACGGCCUUCGGGUUGUAAACCGCUUUCGCCUGUGACGAAGCGGGAGUGACGGUAAUGGGUAAAGAAGCACCGGCUAACUACGUG